rnacentral:rRNA from 1 species
GAUGAACGCUAGCGGCAGGCUUAAUACAUGCAAGUCGAACGGUAAGGUCUCUUCGGAGAUACACGAGUGGCGCACGGGUGCGUAACGCGUAUGCAACCUACCUUUAACUGGGAAAUAGCCCCGAGAAAUCGGGAUUAAUGUCCCAUAUUAUUCUGAGGAUACCUAUCCUUAGAAUGAAAGCUCCGGCGGUUAUUGAUGGGCAUGCGUGACAUUAGCUAGUUGGUGAGGUAACGGCUCACCAAGGCAACGAUGUCUAGGGGUCCUGAGAGGGUUAUCCCCCACACUGGUACUGAGACACGGACCAGACUCCUACGGGAGGCAGCAGUAAGGAAUAUUGGGCAAUGGACGCAAGUCUGACCCAGCCAUGCCGCGUGAAGGAUGAAUGUCCUAUGGAUUGUAAACUUCUUUUAUGCAGGAAAAAUAUCCCGGUCGUGAACCGGGACUGAUGGUACUGUAUGAAUAAGCAUCGGCUAACUCCGUGCCAGCAGCCGCCGUAA